CGUCACCCUCACCUCUGCCAGCAAGAGAGGGUGAGGAGUUCAGGCAUUCUCAUCCUGGCUUUUCUUUUUUCUUAUUUUUCUCUAGGUCUGGAGGCUGGCGGAGUGAAAAAUCCUGCUGCAGCAAAGCGGAGUAGUGGAUCUAACCCUCAUGAGCAGGCACCAGGAAGCCAGUAGGCAUCGGCAACAUCACCGUUGGGCUUUCUGGAAUUUAAUAGACAACCUCUUCUCUACCACUACAAAAGAUUGCUCCCUGCUGACUCACGAGCUUCCCAGGAGUGAACUUCAAGGGUCCAGAGCUAGACCUCAUAGCUAAAGGUAGGACUGAAUACUUAUUUUUAUUCUCCUCCUUGAGACACAGCAUCUAAGCACAUUGGUUCUCCAGUGGGAGCUGCUGGUUGAAUCCAGACCUUCAGCUCAGAGCACAGACGUGACUAUGGGCAGUGACUUCUCCAUCUCCUCUACCACAAGGUCUUGGAGGUGAUGGAUUGGAGCUGUUAACCUGACAAACCCAAACCCUAUUCCUCGGUAGAAGACAGACCAAACAUCUGUUACACAGCUACAGAAAAGCCCGGUUUGAUUUGUUUCUUUCCUUAAAGGAAAAAUAGAAAAAAGAAAAGAAAAAAAAAAGCCUUUUUUUUACUCCAGGCACUCAGAACUUGGCAUCUCCCCUGAAGUGCAGGUAUUUUAUGCAUCUCAGCUGUUUCUGUGCUACAGCACGUGGGUGGUGUUAUUCUCCACCUGAGGAGCUGAUCCUCUUCUGAAUCCUCCCAAGAUCCUGGCUGCAGUAACGCCGCAGUGAUUUAUACAGCUCAAUCACACUCUAUUGAAAGUCUGUUUUCUUUUAAAUCCGCAGCAUUUCAUUUAAAUCCUGGCUGCUGGAUGUUACCUAAGCAGGUCUAGGGGCUCUAGGGGAGAGGAGUACCCAAAUCUGGCUGUUAUUGGGUAUGCACGUUCAGAAAACCGGUAAAAACAAGGCCGUUAUUUGAAAAGACUUAAAUCAAGAUAAAAUUCCUUCCCAGCUCAUAACCAUUUCAGCAGGGAUCAGGUCCUGGGCAAAAACUAGACAACAGCAUCCCUUUGGAUUCUUUCUUACUUCAAGGAAAUGGGGGUGAAAAAAACCAACCUUCCAGCUGAAAGCUUUAUUUGGGAAUAAAGUUUAUCUUCAACAUAUGUCUAAAGAGAGA
rnacentral:lncRNA from 1 species